rnacentral:rRNA from 1 species
UACGUAGGGUGCUAGCGUUGUUCGGAAUCAUUGGGCGUAAAGCGCGUGUAGGUGGUCAUCUAAGUCGAGUGUGAAAGCCCUGGGCUCAACCCGGGAAGUGCAUCCGAAACUAGUUGACUAGAAGACAUUAGAGGAAGGUGGAAUUCCAAGUGUAGAGGUGAAAUUCGUAGAUAUUUGGAGGAAUACCGGCGGCGAAGGCGGCCUUCUGGGGUGCUCUUGACACUGAGACGCGAAAGCGUGGUUAGCAAACAGG